CUAUGCUUUGGUGAUGUUAAAACCUUACAAAAAUACACUUCCAUGGGAUCUUGGCACAGACUGAACUGUCACUUAGCAGCUUCAGCUAAGUUCCUGCAUUUAUUCAAAACUAAAACACAAGAGUGAAACUUGAUGGUUGGGAUAACAGGCCAGAUGCAAACUAAAUCUGAUGAAAAUAUUGGCACUGCGGGCUGAGUUCAGAAGAGCACUGGGACAUGAGUUUAAGUCUUAGUGACUUACACAAAGCUCAGAACUCUGUUUCAGAGGGAGCAGGAGCAGAAAGACAGCAGGUAGCCAGCAGCAGAGAGUCAGAAUUCUCACUUGUCACUGUCAGUGCCUGCUGAGCAGUGAAAAUGCAGGUCUGCAAAAAGCCAGCAACAGCUUCAAGGAGGCAAACUCUUCCUAAGGGCUGCAAACCUUUAGAAUUAGACACAACCAUGAAAGAGUCUACAGUAUCUGGAGCAAAAUUGCAGAAGAAAGGCUAACUUGAUUAGUAGAACACUGAGACCAUCAAAAAAAGAAUAGAGGUCAUUCACUCCUGUGGGAUGAAGAGUUGAGAAGGAAUCAGGACACAAGUCCAAGGAAUCUACUCUCUCAGCAAGAUAUGCAAUAGCUUGGCCAUUUUCUACCCAUGUCAUGAACUCGUACUAUGGUGCUGCCAUGUUUUAUGGCACCAGAGGACCUCACCCUGCAGGAACCAAAGUCACUUUUGAUCUCUACUGACCUGGGCCAGUGUCAAAUGCUAAUAUUUUCCUUUUGAAAACUCAGGUCCCAACGUUGAACCACUGAGAGAGGUUGCAAUCUAAUCAUCACUUAAAAAAACCUCACCCAGCCUCUUAAGACCUGUCUUAGGAUAAUCACUGUAUCUUUACUCAAGCAAAGAAAAGCAAGAAAGCAAUUCUGAAAAAUAAAUGCAGCAUCAUCAUUAUUUACUUUAUCAAUUUUGUCAUUUUUGUAUUCUGUAAGGCACAGUUUUCUUGAUGUAGGUCAUUAUAAUUCUUCUAGAAAUCAUGAAAUUCCCCUGAUGUUGCUGUAUUUUUAGCAAAGAAUAAUAAAUAACUGAUCAGAUGAAAUAUAGUGCUACAUAAUUGGCAAAUGGAGAACAUUUUGCAGAAAUCACUCAAACUAUUUUGAAUUUCAUUUCUAGUCAUGGUUUAUUUAACACUAGCAGAGUGCUCAAAGAGUUUCACAAAAGAUUGAUGAUCCUCUAGUGCAAUUCCUAAGUGUAAUAUUAUGUCUUAAAGAAUUAUGUCACUUUCUUUAAGGGUGCUGAGAAAGAUAUUACUAUGCAUCAAUAAAAAUUCAAGUUUUACCAACCAUCUGUAUUGCGUAAAUCAAGCAGAGGGUAAGGGUUUCCCCAGAAAACAAUUAUGAAAUAGAAUGAGAUGGUCCAAAAAGCAUUUACUGUACUAAAGAGUGUCAGUAAUGCUAUUGUACUGUGACUACAAUUAACUUCAGAAUAAUUUUUUACUGCAACAUAUUCAUGCAUUGUUGCUCAAGGCUGUGCUUACAUGGUUAAAAGGACAGUUUUCCCAGUUGAACUGGUGUUUGUCUACAGAAGACUGUUUCACAGAGGAGCUGUGAUAUGAAACUGAUGUUAAGAAAUCUAUGUGUACAUAGUGAUUAUUAUGGGUAAUCUAAAGUUAAAUUAGGUACCCAAACUGAAAUACAAGUGUUGGCAGAAGGCUAUCCAUUAACCUGAUUUUUUUUUUAAGUUUUAAAGUAAAAACAGUUCAGUGUCAUACAGACAAGGCAUUAAUCAGUCAACAUAGCUUAGCACAUCUGGAGACCCCCUUAAUGGAGUGUGGACCUAGUUUUGUCAUCUAGAUGGAAAUCUAGGCUACUACACAAUCAAUUUACAUGACUUUGGAGGUGCUCAAGGUGGUUCACUUGUGUCUACCUGGGCACAAGUAGCAAAUUUACACAAGAUUAGUAACUGUGCCAUAGAGCUUGCAUAGAUGCCUGACCAGGAGCAAAAUCUCCCAGUCAGCCGUCCACCAGCAGGUGAGAGAUUGCUCCCAGCCCCUGGGAGCUGCCUGCUGCCGAGGCAGGCUCCACCAUAGGAGCCUGGGGACAAUGUCCCCCAGGCCCAGUAACAGAGCUCCAAGAUCAUGAUCAGGGAGUGGGUCUGGGAGAUCCUUAUCUCCAAUCCCUGCUCCACCAUUGUGAUUGGGGAGUGGGGGACUGAGAGACCUGUAUCUCCCAGUGCUGGCUCUGCAACCACAGGGCCGAUACUGGGAGACCCUUAUCUCUAUGAGCCUGUGCUGAGAGAUAAAGUUCUCCCAGCCAGAGCCCCAUGACCAUGGAGCUCAGACUGGGAGAUAAGAAUCUCCCAGCUUGAGCUCUUGGGGCUCAGGCUGGGAGAUACUUACCUCCCAACCUGAGCUCCAUGGUUGCAGGGUUAGAGCUGAGAGACCCUUAUCUCUGUGAGCCAGUGCUGGGAGACAAGGGUCUCCCAGUCUAAGCCCCAUGAUUGCAGAGCUCAGACUGGGAGAUGCGUCUCUCAGCCCAAGCCCUGCAACUGUGGGACUCAGGUUGGGAGCUCCCUGCUAGCAGGGACAGGGGAACCUGUUCUCUGUCCAACUCUGUGAUCAUGGAGCUGGGGCCAGAACAGGCUAGGAGCUUGUUUCCAGCCCCGACUGCAGCUGUAGAGUAGGGGCUGGGAACAAGCUUCCCAGUCCCCACUCUGAAACUGCAAUUGCAUUCAUGGAUCUGGGGCUGGGAGCUCCCUGCAUGGGGACAGUUCUCAGCCAGCCCCAGGCUGCACAGGGAAGCACAUGCAGCCUGGAUGUGGCUAGGGACUGUCCUGUUUCAGGCAGUCCCCAGCCAGCUCCAGGCUUCCCAUGCAGACUUUCCCAUGCAGCCCAGGGCUGGCCAGGAACUGUCCUGGUUAGGGGCAGAUCCAAUCCCCAUGCCCUCAUCAGGUGAUUGAGGCACAGGUCUUAGAAAGAACUGCAGGGCUGGGGUAGGCCCAAGCUCCCUGCCCCCAUCCACUGGUGGGGCAGCUAGCAGUGAGCUAGCUGUUAGCUACCCAACUUGAGGUUUGGGACAGGGGUUUAGGACCCUGCAUCUCUUUCGAAGCCCCAUGCCCCUGAUUGGGGAUCCAGAGCCAGGAGAUUCUUGCUACUGGAGCAGGGAGACAUUGUAUCCACCCCAGCUGCUCCCUGCUAGGUCUGGGACUGGCGCCCAGGAGGAGCCUGGAGCUCCCCCUAGUGGUGGCAGGGGCCCAUUGCAGGGCUGCAGGGGACUCCAUGCAAAUUUGUAGACCCCUGCCCAAAAACCCUUACUCAGACUUAGCUUAUACCACAGUAAAUCUGGGCUGGAGUAAAUGCCUGUGUAGAUGUACAGUGUGUUAAGCACUUCAUUUUCAUGAAUAAAAUAAGCUUAUGCUCCCAACUUGGAAGUAAAUCAUUUAUGUAUACACAGCAUGGGUAAUUACACAUGCAGGUACACAUUUGUGGUAUAUUUGUUAUCAAAUAUUCAUAUUACAGUAUAAGCUGUGAGAUCAAGGUCCUGUUUUGCUAUGCACUGGUUGGCUAGGAGGUUAGGACAGUAUCGGCCCAAAGUAUUUACAGCCUUAAUUUGUACAAUGUAUCCAAUCCCAUAUAUUCAAAGGCGUAUUUACACAUAUUGUAUAUGGCAGUCUAGGUACAGUAUUAGAAAAUGUAUUCCUAAAUGUCUGCAGAAAAAAAAACGGUAUUUCUAAUAAAAAUAUUGCUUGGUGUCCA